rnacentral:rRNA from 1 species
UUAGGACGAACGCUGGCGGCGUGCCUAACACAUGCAAGUCGAGCGAGGAGAUCCUUCGGGAUGAUCCUAGCGGCGGACGGGUGAGUAACACGUGGGCAACCUGCCUCAUAGAGAGGAAUAGCCUUCCGAAAGGGAGAUUAAUACCUCAUAACAUUGCAGUUUCGCAUGAAACAGCAAUUAAAGGAGCAAUCCGCUAUGAGAUGGGCCCGCGGCGCAUUAGCUAGUUGGUGAGGUAACGGCUCACCAAGGCGACGAUGCGUAGCCGACCUGAGAGGGUGAUCGGCCACAUUGGGACUGAGACACGGCCCAGGCUCCUACGGGAGGCAGCAGUGGGGAAUAUUGCACAAUGGGGGAAACCCUGAUGCCAGCAACGCCGCGUGAGUGAUGACGGCCUUCGGGUUGUAAAGCUCUGUCUUCAGGGACGAUAAUGACGGUACCUGAGGAGGAAGCCACGGCUAACUACGUGCCAGCCGCCGC